rnacentral:rRNA from 1 species
CUGUCUUAUUGAUAAAAAUUGAAUUUAACUUUUAAGUGAAAAGGCUUAAAUAUUAGAAAGGGACGAUAAGACCCUAUAAAACUUUAUAUAAAUUAGAUUUUUUAUUAUAAUUGUUUGUUUAGUAAGAAAUAAUUUAUUAGUAUUUUAUUGGGGCGAUAGGAAUAUAUAAGUAACUGUUCUUUUUAAUAACAAAUAUUGUUGAUUGGAAAGAUCCUUAAUAGAGAUUAUAAGACAAAGUUACUUUAGGGAUAACAGCGUAAUUUUUUUUAAGAGUUCAUAUCGACAAAAAAGAUUGCGACCUCGAUGUUGAAUUAAAAUUUCUUUAUGGUGCAGAAGCUGUAAAAGAAAGUCUGUUCGACUUUUAAAAUUUUA